rnacentral:lncRNA from 1 species
GAAAAUCACACAUUCUUCUACUUCAAAUACCGAAAAUCAGAAUUGACAGCGUGAUAGUCAAUCAGUGCGGAGGUUUUACAAUGUCAAAAAUCCCGAUAAUGCUGAAAUCUAAUGGUUAUUGGGAUAACUAUGGCAGAUUCCGAGAUUUGAAGUUGAUGCUAUUUUGGUUGAUGAUAAUGCAAGCUACGGAAUUAUCCAGUC